rnacentral:rRNA from 1 species
GCACACGCUGUGCGGCAUGCCUCACACAUGCAAGUCGAACGGGGUUUGGUUGAAAGUUUACUUUUGACUAAACCUAGUGGCGGACGGGUGANUAACGCGUGGGCAACCUACCCUACAGACCGGGAUACCAUCGGGAAACUGAUGUUAAUACCGGAUACNCUUAGUAUAACGCAUGUAGUAUUAAGGAAAGAUUUNAUCNCUGUAGAUGGGCCUGCGUUCCAUUACUAAUUGGUAGGUAACGGCCUACCAAGGCGACAUGGAUAUCUGGUCUGAGAGGACGAUCACCACACUGGGACUGAGACACGGCCCAGACUCCUACGGGAGGCACAGUGGGGGAUAUUGCCAAUGGGCGAAAGCCUGACGCAGCACUGCCGCGUGAAGGAAAAGGUCUUCGGAUAGUAACUUCUGUUAAGAGGGAUGAAAAAUGACACUACCUCUAAGGAAGCCCCGGCUAACUACCUGCCACACCGCGCUAAUACUACGGGGCGAGCGUCGUCCUNAAUCACUGGGCGUAAANCNCGCGUAGGUGGUU